GACAUACAUGUUUAAAUAUGAUACUGUACAUGGGCAAUGGAAGCAUCACGAGAUAAAAGUGAAGGAUUCCAAGACCCUUCUUUUGGGAGAGAAAGAGGUUACUGUCUGUGGCAUCAGGAAUCCUGAGGAGAUUCCUUGGGGUGAGACUAGAGCUGACUUCGUUGUGGAGUCUACUGGUGUCUUU